GGGGGUGAGUGAUGGUCAACACCUGGUCUUCAGCCAGGCACCGAGGGUUCGAUUCCCUCCGUCCCCU
rnacentral:tRNA from 1 species